UCUUCCAUAGCUCAGUUGGCUAGAGCGUCUGACUGUUACGUAGCGCCGUUCGCUCAAACGAGCAGCGUCUAUCAGCAAAUCAGGAGGUCGUAAGUUCGAGCCUUACUGGAAGAG